rnacentral:rRNA from 1 species
UACGGAGGGGGCUAGCGUUGUUCGGAAUUACUGGGCGUAAAGCGCACGUAGGCGGCUUUGUAAGUUAGAGGUGAAAGCCCAGGGCUUAACCCUGGAAUUGCCUUUAAGACUGCAUCGCUAGAAUCGUGGAGAGGUGAGUAGAAUUCCGAGUGUAGAGGUGAAAUUCGUAGAUAUUCGGAAGAACACCAGUGGCGAAGGCGACUCACUGGACACGUAUUGACGCUGAGGUGCGAAAGCGUGGGGAGCAAACAGG